rnacentral:ncRNA from 1 species
CAAAGGUUUGGUCCUGGCCCUCCCGUUAGUUUUUAAUAAAAUUAUACAUGCAAGCUUCCACGCCCCAGUGAGAAUGCCCUUCAGAUCCCUAUCAACCGAUCAAAAGGAGCGGGUAUCAAGCACACUUAACAAGUAGCUCACAACGCCUUGCUCAACCACACCCCCACGGGACACAGCAGUAAUAAAAAUUAAGCCAUGAACGAAAGUUCGACUAAGUUAUAUUAAUUAACAAGGGUUGGUAAAUUUCGUGCCAGCCACCGCGGUCAUACGAUUAACCCAAACUAAAGGGCCCACGGCGUAAAGCGUGUAAAAGAUUUACCAACACUAAAGUUAAAAUUUAACCAAGCCGUAAAAAGCUACCGUUAAUACAAAAUACCCUACGAAAGUGACUUUACUAACUCUGACUACACGAUAGCUAAGACCCAAACUGGGAUUAGAUACCCCACUAUGCUUAGCCCUAAACAUAAAUAAUUCACUUAACAAAAUUAUCCGCCAGAGAACUACUAGCAACAGCUUAAAACUCAAAGGACUUGGCGGUGCUUCACACCCCCCUAGAGGAGCCUGUUCUAUAAUCGAUAAACCCCGAUAAACCUCACCACCUCUUGCUAAUCCAGUCUAUAUACCGCCAUCCUCAGCAAACCCUUAAAAGGAAAGAAAGUAAGCAUAAUCAUCACACAUAAAAAAGUUAGGUCAAGGUGUAACCCAUGAGGUGGGAAGAAAUGGGCUACAUUUUCUAAACAAGAACACACCAUACGAAAGUUAUUAUGAAACUAAUAACUAAAGGUGGAUUUAGUAGUAAACUAAGAAUAGAGAGCUUAAUUGAACUGGGCCAUGAAGCACGCACACACCGCCCGUCACCCUCCUCAAAUAUUACCCCAAAACAUAUACAUAAAUUAACACAAAAAUCAUAAGAGGAGACAAGUCGUAACAAGGUAAGCAUACUGGAAAGUGUGCUUGGAUAAAC